UGCGCAGGCGGUCCGGUCAGUCGGAAGUGAAAUCCGUCGGCUCAACCGACGAAAUGCUUUCGAUACUACCGGACUUGAGUACGGGAGAGGAGAGCGGAAUUCCCAGUGUAGAGGUGAAAUUCGUAGAUAUUGGGAAGAACACCGGUGGCGAAGGCGGCUCUCUGGACCGAUACUGACGCUGAGGCGCGAAAGCGUGGGGAGCAAACAGGAUUAGAUACCCUGGUAGUCC
rnacentral:rRNA from 1 species